rnacentral:rRNA from 1 species
UACAGAGACUGCAAGCGUUUAUUCGGAUUCGCUGGCGGUCAAGGUAGGCGCAGGCGGCCGUGUGUGUGAGGCGUGAAAGCCCGGGGCUUAACCCCGGAAUUGCACCUCAAACUACAUGGCUAGAGCAUUGGAGAGGGUAGCAGAAUUCAUGGUGUAGCAGUGAAAUGCGUAGAUAUCAUGAGGAAUACCAGAGGCGAAGGCGGCUACCUGGACAAUUGCUGACGCUCAGGCACGAAAGCGUGGGGAGCAAAAGGG